UACGGAGGAUCCAAGCGUUAUCCGGAAUCAUUGGGUUUAAAGGGUCCGUAGGCGGUUUAGUAAGUCAGUGGUGAAAGCCCAUCGCUCAACGGUGGAACGGCCAUUGAUACUGCUAGACUUGAAUUAUUGGGAAGUAACUAGAAUAUGUAGUGUAGCGGUGAAAUGCUUAGAUAUUACAUGGAAUACCGAUUGCGAAGGCAGGUUACUAUCAAUAUAUUGACGCUGAUGGACGAAAGCGUGGGGAGCGAACAGG
rnacentral:rRNA from 1 species